CAGACUUCGGAGACGCAGCUAUAUUUCAGGCUGUCAGGGCAAGUCUUCGUAGCCGCAUCGCCUGUGAAGAAGCCCUGUACGGCAUUCUGGAGUGCUCUCGCCGCUGGCUGACGUCUACUCAACUUUUCCGUCACGUUCAGGAGUAGGCCUCGAUCUGAGUUUGUCACACCUCACCUUAGAGAAUAUGUCUCCCCCAUGCGACACCGGUGUGAGUCCUACCCUAGUGAAUGCAUUUCUACGUGGUCUGUCAAGCGCCUGUACAAGUCGCUCUUGGAGCUACUUCCCAUGCCUCCGGCUGCUGUGGGUCUUGCUGUGCCCUGGAUUCGGUGGAGUGUCAUUCAACUGAUCUUCCAGCCCCCCAUCCUGCAUCGCGAUAGGAAAUAGUUCCUUCUGCUGGCAGUUGAGAUCGAUUACCAGGUGCAGAUUUCUCGCUACAUUGCAGCACAAGGUGGCCGCGUCCGUACUGUGGCAGAAGUGCUAAAUCUUGUUCGAGCAAGGAUUCACUGAGCCCUUCGUAGAGAGAGAGAGACCUGCGCUGGGAGCUGUGCACUUCGCAAGGCGGUGGCAGACGUCUUCGGUCCUCUUUGAAGAUGACAGAGUGCCUUCCUCGAGGAACUUUCUGCCAGCUUGGUCCUCUACAGGAAAAGACCUGGUCGUUCGUCACAGGAGAACCUCCCCAUCCGACGGCCCCUGAAGAUGGCGCAGCUCCCCAUGCGACGGCCCCUGAAGAUGGCACAAGAUGUACCACGGGACGUGAGAACUGAUGCCACACAACAUUGGCCCAUUUGGGGGGAAAAGAGAAACAGGUGUAAGGCAUGCACAUUUACACCUAGGCUACACGUACAUUUCAUGCUCAAAGUGCACCUUGCGCCUGUGUAUCAACAAAGAUCGAAAUUGUUUUAUAAGCUUCCACGGACUUUAGAUAGCUUUCCCAUUUCUAUUCCCCAGCUUUUCAUGUACUUUUGACACAGUUGUCUCACCGCACUGACUUAUGCAUUAUUCAUUUACUGCCCACCGUUGCAGAUGUGCAACGACCUGUAAUAAAAUAUCG